GAGGAUCACACCCACCACAAGCCAACAGACGCCUCGGCGCCUCCGGACCCAGGUUCGCCCCUCCUGCUGCGCGUCCGGGUCUGUUCUCCCCGCGCUCCUUGCCCGCCUCCUGCACGGGAACCUGUGCUCUCCGCGGGGCACCUGUCAGCCGUGCGGGGUCCCCGCAGAGCUAACGCCCGGCAGGCGGCCCGCCCUGAAGACCGGGCACUGACCCCGGAGCGGAGACGUGCAUUCGGAGCAGGAGCCCGCGCCCUCGGUCGUCCGGCUGAGACACGGGGCGUGAGGAGAUGCCAUCUCCCGUGCCCCCACCCCUGGCGAGAUCGGCUGGGAGUGGUUUCGGAGGCUAAGCCGCGACAGAAGGCUCAAAGAGCAGCAAGCAGUUCAGCAGCUGCCCCGCUCCGGCCCCGCCCUCCCAGGGCUGACCCUGCGCCCCGGUCCCCGCGUGUCCCCGGAGCUCCGCGUCGCAAGGCCGUCCCGGAGGUGGUCCCCAGCUCGCGGGCGGCGCCGGCGGGGGCGGCAGGUGGGCCGGGCUCCGCUCGAGUACACCGUGUUUACCUGGCUCGCAGGAAGCCCGGGGGCGGGGGAGGGGCGGGGGAGGGGAGGCGGGGUGCGCGCCGCCCCGGGAGCAGCCGCCGUCAGUCACCGCCGCCGCGCGCAGCGAGGACGAGCCUCCGGCCCUGGCGGCCCGCGUCUUCGACCCCGGAAGGCGGCGCCGGCGGCCCCGGGGCCCCGCGCUGCGCACGCUUGGGGCCGGAGCGGCGGAGAGGCGGCCUGGGAGCAGCGAGCGCAGCGCGGUGGGUGAUCCUCGCCGGCGGCGGGGGGCGGCCCGGCGCUUGGUCUCCGCGCCCUCGGAGCAGGGCACGGCGGGGACCCGGGCAGGACCCGGAGCCGGGGGCGCGGGGCUGGAGGGGGCCGACGCCGGGGUUCCGUCCCCGCGCCGGACUCGGGGCCCUCGCCGGGCUCCCCGGGGCAGCGGCGCAGGUGUCAGGUCAGGUAGCAGCUCGGUGGCCUCCCUGCGAGGGGGUGGGAGCAGGUGUAGACGCUGGUCUACGGCGGCGGGGCUGGAAUCCGACGGGUUUCCAGGUGUGGUCUCUGGCCAGGCCGGGUGGCUGGGGUCGCGGGAAGAGCGCGCGUUCCUAG
rnacentral:lncRNA from 1 species